rnacentral:rRNA from 1 species
GACGAACGCUGGCGGCGUGCUUAACACAUGCAAGUCGAGCGGUAAGGCCCUUCGGGUACGACGAGCGGCGAACGGGUGAGUAACACGUGGGUGACCUGCCUCUAGCUCUGGGAUAAGCCUGGGAAACUGGGUCUAAUACCGGAUAUGACUCCACGGCGCAUGUUGUGGGGUGGAAAGCCUUGUGUGGCUAGAGAUGGGCCCGCGGCCUAUCAGCUUGUUGGUGGGGGUAUGGCCGUACCAAGGCGACGACGGGUGGCCGGCCUGAGAGGGCGACCGGCCACACUGGGACUGAGACACGGCCCAGACUCCUACGGGAGGCAGCAGUGGGGAAUCUUG